CCUUGCCUUCACCCGGAGGACGGGGUGGGAGGAGGACGGGGGGUGCGCCCCCAGUUUGGUGUUUCCCAAAUUGGGAUGGGGCUGGGGGCUACUCCUGUGCUCCUCGAGCAAGCCGUCGGUGCUGCAAAGGGGUUUUGGGACUGGGGGGCUGGUGGUGGGGUCGGGGGGCUGCCUCGCUGCCCGUGGAGGUCCUGGGGACCCUCUGCCACCCCGGGGCACGGGGUAAAUGGAGGGGGUGACGCGGUUGGGGCCGUCCCCACGAGGUGUAAAGGUGCCAGCCGAGGGUGGCGGGCGCUUCAAAGUCAUCCUGCCGCGGUGCCCGGCGGUGGCACGCGCAGAGGACGCGGGUGCUGGUGUCCCCCCCACGGUGUCACCGGGUUGGACGGGUGCCACCAGCCCCCACGUACCCACCGGNNNNNNNNNNGGUCUUCGACAUCACCAAGCACCAGACGUACGACGUGGUGGACCGCUGGCUGAAGGAGCUGUACGACCACGCCGAGCCCAGCAUCGUGGUGAUGCUGGUGGGGAACAAAACCGACCUGGCGCAGGCUCGGGAGGUGCCCACGGAGGAGGCGAAAAUGUUCGCAGAGAACAACGGGCUGCUCUUCUUGGAGACCUCGGCGCUGGACUCCACCAACGUCGAGCAGGCUUUCGAGACCAUCCUGAAGGAAAUCUUCCAGAAGGUGCAGAAGCAGAAGCAGAGGAGCAGCCAAAGCAGCACGGUGUCGCUCGGCAGCGAGAACCCGGAGAGCUCGGCACCGGCGCAGGGGGAGAAGCGCCCGUGCUGCGUGGCCAUCUGAGCCCCCCCCCCGGGCAGCUCGGGGGGGUCCGGGACGUGCCAAGGGGCUGGGGCUGGGGCUGGUCCCUUUGGGCCACCAACCCCCUGCUGCGGCGUGGUGGGGAGCCUGGAAAGCGGGUAAAUUCUGCCAGAAAUGGUGAAAAGCCUCAGUGCCGGCAGCUCCGCGCCAUCCGCCUCGUUUUUAUGGGGUCCUGAGCAAUUCACACCAGCACCCGAGCUGCCCCGGAUCCCGAUCCCGAUCCCAAUCCCUCCAGCCCCGCCGUGCAGAGGACUGAGACACCCAAGGGUGCUGCUGCUGCUUCUCGCCGGGGCCGUGCCACCCACGGGAGCUGCCGCGAUCCUGCUGUGGGGUCUGCGCCACGCGCUGGGGACCUGCCUGUCCCCACAGCUCCGCGUCCCCAGUGGGGACAGCUUCGGGGUCACCGCAUCCCAAAAUGUGGUGCUGCCACCAUUAAAGGACUUGCGAAAGGCGGCUCCGCUCUGCUGGAAUCCCUCAGCCCUCCUGGCCUCGGCCCUGCGCCCCCCACCCCAUACCCAUGGGGUGCGUCCCCAUGGGGGUCCCUGCGCCCCUUCCCUUGUCCCGUUGCCCCGAUGGCCCCCAGGGGGAUGCCCGGCAGCUGAUCGGCCCCAAAAAGGGGCCUCUGCCGAA
rnacentral:lncRNA from 1 species